rnacentral:miRNA from 1 species
AACAAUAUCCUGAUGCUGCAUGAGU